AGAAGAGGAAAUAUCCAGAGUCCGAAACGGUCCACCAGAAGAACGCGGGAUUUUCCCGCCAAGACAAAAAUCUAAGCUUCUUUUCCACUCUCUCUAAUCUCUAUAUGCAACAGAAACAAGUACCUGGCUUAUUCUUGUUCUCUUCUGUAAUGGGAAGCAAGUAAAUGAAGACAACAAUGGAAGCUAAAAGGAGCAGAAGAAGUAGUAGAAAGCGGCUAUCAGAUUGCACUAACUUCACCGAUUCUAUAAACCAUCUCUAUCUUCAUCAUCAUCCACCAAAAACUCCUCUUCUCUUAUCAAACCCAGUAAGCUCUUACCCACAAACACUCACACUACCAAACAAAGCGAAACCCACGCGAAUUCAACUACUGGAUCCGCCGCCACUGGACAUAUCGACAACCACCUAUUAAACCCUAAUAUCGUUUUGCUUACAACUACUUCCACGCCUUCUCGGGCUUCAUAAACUUCUUCUGUUGCUGGUACUGCUAGUCAUAAGGUUUCUGAGCCAUGUUUAGUUUACAGUCGGAGACAAUCAGUAGAUAAGAGGAAGAGUAAAGGGAAGGCCGUUACUGUGCCCAUAAGUUGCUUUUCCGCGGUAAAGAAUCAGUUUACUAGGGAUGAAAUGAAUGAAGGUGGAGUUACCAGGCUAUCCAAAUCCUGCACAGUGCCUUACAAAAAGGUUUGGAGAUUUUUUUUUUUUGUCUAUAUUCUCACACCAUUUUUUCUAUUGCAACUUCUCAUUUUAUCUCUGUCAUUAAGUGCCUUUUUACCAUUAUUAAUCAAAUUACUAUAAGUUGCUUAUCAUGAAAAUUUCAUGAGAAGAAUUUGUUGUGUAUCCCAGUUUAUGUUGACUGAUUUAUUUGUGCUUAAUGCACCUGCAAAGUGUGGUAUCUAUUGGCAUGGCUCCAUGCUUUAGUUGAUUUCAACCUCAAAACUUACGGCUAUAUUCCUAGGAAAUAGUGUUAAUUCACUCUUGCAUAACCGCCAGCUGCAGUGAGAGCCACGUGAAGAUCAGAGUACUCCCCACUCAUGAGGUUAACAAGGGGUAAUUAUUAACCUUGUAACUUUUAACCUCCUCAUUAAUGUUAUUUGAUACUUAAAGAGACUUGGUUAAUUUUUAAUCUAAUUAAUGUUUAUACUUUCUUGAGGGGUUAAAUGUUAACUUCGGGGACUAUAUUAAUAAUUAUCCUCUUUAGAGGUUAAAACUUAUAAUGGUAACAUUUAAUCCUUGAUUUUUUAAUCUUAUAUGAAACACAUUCUUAGUCUUAAUACAUAUGAUUUAAAAAAAAGUAUAUUUAUAUAACAUUUAGAAAAAGUUAUAGCUCACUAAUAUUAAUCUAUUAAUUUAUGGGCCCUUAAUAGAGAUGUAUAGCAAAAUAUCCACCUUAGUUUGUUCUCUGGCUGUGCAUCUAAUUUGAAAAACAUAUUAAGAUAAAUAGUAUAGUUCUUAAUUAAUGACAUGACUUUUAUAGUGGACA
rnacentral:misc_RNA from 1 species